GAGCCGGCCAGCUCGUAGAUCGUUGCGUUGCGUGCUGUGACCAAGGAUCUCACCUUCGGUUCCCUGAUGGAGUGAAGGUGUCAUGGGGUGCUCGGAGCUCACCCUUAAGGAGGGGAUACUGUUAUGAACCACAGGUGUCUCUAUUGUUUUCUUUGCCGAAGUAGGCCUUUUUUGGUUGCCAUUUUGUACACAAGUUUGCAUUUAUUUUCAGAGCAGGUGUCUAUUGUUUUCUUUGCCGAAGUAGGCCUUUUUUGGUUGCCAUUUUGUACACAGGUUUGCAUUUAUUUUCAGAGCAGGUGUCUCUAUUGUUUUCUUUGCCGAUGUAGGCCUUUUUUGGUUGCCAUUUUGAACACAAGUUUGCAUUUAUUUUCAGAGCAGGU